AUUGAACGCUGGCGGCAUGCCUUACACAUGCAAGUCGAACGGCAGCACGGGAGCAAUCCUGGUGGCGAGUGGCGAACGGGUGAGUAAUAUAUCGGAACGUGCCCAGUCGUGGGGGAUAACGCAGCGAAAGCUGUGCUAAUACCGCAUACGAUCUACGGAUGAAAGCGGGGGAUCGCAAGACCUCGCGCGAUUGGAGCGGCCGAUAUCAGAUUAGCUAGUUGGUGGGGUAAAGGCCCACCAAGGCGACGAUCUGUAGCUGGUCUGAGAGGACGACCAGCCACACUGGAACUGAGACACGGUCCAGACUCCCUACGGGAGGCAGCAGUGGGGAAUUUUGGACAAUGGGCGCAAGCCUGAUCCAGCAAUGCCGCGUGCAGGA
rnacentral:rRNA from 1 species